rnacentral:tmRNA from 1 species
GGGGGUGUACCGGUUUCGACUGGAUCAAAGGAGAGUCUGCUGCAUGCCGGGGAUUCGGCUGCCCCGUUAUCAAAGCCGAACUUCAAGAAUUAACUGACAACAAUUUAGCACUUGCGGCCUAAGCGCCGCCGUCCUCUUCGGUAGGCCUUCGGGCCGGAGAAGGGCGCCGCAACGAAGGCUGGCACUGUCUGCCCGACCCGAGCGGACUGCGUGAGAUGAUCGGGUGGGGUUGUGUGCGGUGUUGUCUGUGGCUUCCGCAUAUAACCGACGCUGCAUCCACAGACUAAGCGCGUAGACGCGGCCUCAUUCCUUGUUUCAGGACGCGGGUUCGACUCCCGCCACCUCCAUAA